CACAGACUUAAGGACUCAGCCUCGAAACCUCAUAGGACUACUCUUUAUCUACUAAGGUCGAUAGAUCUUAUUUAAAUAUACAUACUACUCCUAUAAUGAAUCUACUAUAGUCAAUAUACGCUAUAAAGAUCAAAAUGACUAAGAGAUCAUGUUUAUAUGCAGUCAAACUACAACAACCCCACUGUGAGCAGUUGAGGCAUCGCAGAUCAAAGAAUUACUCACAAUACUAC
rnacentral:lncRNA from 1 species